rnacentral:rRNA from 1 species
GGGUUGUGAGGUUAAGCGACUAAGCGUACACGGUGGAUGCCCUGGCAGUCAGAGGCGAUGAAGGGCGUGCUAAUCUGCGAUAAGCGCCGGUAAGGUGAUAUGAACCGUUAUAACCGGCGAUACCCGAAUGGGGAAACCCAGUGUGACUCGUCACACUAUCAUUAACUGAAUCCAUAGGUUAAUGAGGCGAACCGGGGGAACUGAAACAUCUAAGUACCCCGAGGAAAAGAAAUCAACCGAGAUUCCCCCAGUAGCGGCGAGCGAACGGGGAGGAGCCCAGAGCCUGAAUCAGCAUGUGUGUUAGUGGAAGCGUCUGGAAAGGCGCGCGAUACAGGGUGACAGCCCCGUACACAAAAGCGCAUGUGCUGUGAGCUCGAUGAGUAGGGCGGGACACGUGGUAUCCUGUCUGAAUAUGGGGGGACCAUCCUCCAAGGCUAAAUACUCCUGACUGACCGAUAGUGAACCAGUACCGUGAGGGAAAGGCGAAAAGAACCCCGGCGAGGGGAGUGAAAAAGAACCUGAAACCGUGUACGUACAAGCAGUGGGAGCACAGGUUUACCUGUGUGACUGCGUACCUUUUGUAUAAUGGGUCAGCGACUUAUAUUCUGUAGCAAGGUUAACCGUAUAGGGGAGCCGUAGGGAAACCGAGUCUUAAUUGGGCGUUAAGUUGCAGGGUAUAGACCCGAAACCCGGUGAUCUAGCCAUGGGCAGGUUGAAGGUUGGGUAACACUAACUGGAGGACCGAACCGACUAAUGUUGAAAAAUUAGCGGAUGACCUGUGGCUGGGGGUGAAAGGCCAAUCAAACCGGGAGAUAGCUGGUUCUCCCCGAAAGCUAUUUAGGUAGCGCCUCGUGAAUUCAUCUCCGGGGGUAGAGCACUGUUUCGGCUAGGGGGCCAUCCCGGCUUACCAACCCGAUGCAAACUGCGAAUACCGGAGAAUGUUAUCACGGGAGACACACGGCGGGUGCUAACGUCCGUCGUGAAGAGGGAAACAACCCAGACCGCCAGCUAAGGUCCCAAAGUCAUGGUUAAGUGGGAAACGAUGUGGGAAGGCCCAGACAGCCAGGAUGUUGGCUUAGAAGCAGCCAUCAUUUAAAGAAAGCGUAAUAGCUCACUGGUCGAGUCGGCCUGCGCGGAAGAUGUAACGGGGCUAAACCAUGCACCGAAGCUGCGGCAGCGACACUGUGUGUUGUUGGGUAGGGGAGCGUUCUGUAAGCCUGCGAAGGUGGCCUGUGAGGGUUGCUGGAGGUAUCAGAAGUGCGAAUGCUGACAUAAGUAACGAUAAAGCGGGUGAAAAGCCCGCUCGCCGGAAGACCAAGGGUUCCUGUCCAACGUUAAUCGGGGCAGGGUGAGUCGACCCCUAAGGCGAGGCCGAAAGGCGUAGUCGAUGGGAAACGGGUUAAUAUUCCCGUACUUGGUGUUACUGCGAAGGGGGGACGGAGAAGGCUAUGUUGGCCGGGCGACGGUUGUCCCGGUUUAAGCGUGUAGGUGUGUGUUCCAGGUAAAUCCGGUUCACUUUAACACUGAGGCGUGAUGACGAGGCACUACGGUGCUGAAGCAACAAAUGCCCUGCUUCCAGGAAAAGCCUCUAAGCAUCAGGUAACAUCAAAUCGUACCCCAAACCGACACAGGUGGUCAGGUAGAGAAUACCAAGGCGCUUGAGAGAACUCGGGUGAAGGAACUAGGCAAAAUGGUGCCGUAACUUCGGGAGAAGGCACGCUGACAUGUAGGUGAAGUGAUUUACUCACGGAGCUGAAGUCAGUCGAAGAUACCAGCUGGCUGCAACUGUUUAUUAAAAACACAGCACUGUGCAAACACGAAAGUGGACGUAUACGGUGUGACGCCUGCCCGGUGCCGGAAGGUUAAUUGAUGGGGUCAGCGCAAGCGAAGCUCCUGAUCGAAGCCCCGGUAAACGGCGGCCGUAACUAUAACGGUCCUAAGGUAGCGAAAUUCCUUGUCGGGUAAGUUCCGACCUGCACGAAUGGCGUAAUGAUGGCCAGGCUGUCUCCACCCGAGACUCAGUGAAAUUGAACUCGCUGUGAAGAUGCAGUGUACCCGCGGCAAGACGGAAAGACCCCGUGAACCUUUACUAUAGCUUGACACUGAACAUUGAGCCUUGAUGUGUAGGAUAGGUGGGAGGCUUUGAAGUGUGGACGCCAGUCUGCAUGGAGCCGACCUUGAAAUACCACCCUUUAAUGUUUGAUGUUCUAACGUGGACCCGUAAUCCGGGUUGCGGACAGUGUCUGGUGGGUAGUUUGACUGGGGCGGUCUCCUCCUAAAGAGUAACGGAGGAGCACGAAGGUUGGCUAAUCCUGGUCGGACAUCAGGAGGUUAGUGCAAUGGCAUAAGCCAGCUUGACUGCGAGCGUGACGGCGCGAGCAGGUGCGAAAGCAGGUCAUAGUGAUCCGGUGGUUCUGAAUGGAAGGGCCAUCGCUCAACGGAUAAAAGGUACUCCGGGGAUAACAGGCUGAUACCGCCCAAGAGUUCAUAUCGACGGCGGUGUUUGGCACCUCGAUGUCGGCUCAUCACAUCCUGGGGCUGAAGUAGGUCCCAAGGGUAUGGCUGUUCGCCAUUUAAAGUGGUACGCGAGCUGGGUUUAGAACGUCGUGAGACAGUUCGGUCCCUAUCUGCCGUGGGCGCUGGAGAACUGAGGGGGGCUGCUCCUAGUACGAGAGGACCGGAGUGGACGCAUCACUGGUGUUCGGGUUGUCAUGCCAAUGGCACUGCCCGGUAGCUAAAUGCGGAAGAGAUAAGUGCUGAAAGCAUCUAAGCACGAAACUUGCCCCGAGAUGAGUUCUCCCUGAGACUUAGAGUCUCCUGAAGGAACGUUGAAGACGACGACGUUGAUAGGCCGGGUGUGUAAGCGCAGCGAUGCGUUGAGCUAACCGGUACUAAUGAACCGUGAGGCUUAACCUUACAACGCCGAAG